CCCCGGCCUCCAGCAGCCAAAGGGGCGGGGCCUAUUCCGACUGGGCGUAGCUAGCUACCACGGAGCGGCUACUAGGGAGAAGGCGGGGAAGCUCCCUCCGAAAUACCGCAUCGGUUGUGACCAAAACCAUAGCUGAGGGGCGUGGCUACACAUCCGAGCCGCCUAUGCGAAGCCCUAGGCGGGGCUGGAGACCGAAAGAACUACAAAUGAUAGAAACAAGAUCAUACCCGAUGAACACAGGGAACAGGAGGGUGAGAAUGGAAGCUGUAGGUGGAAGAAGGAAAAACAGAGAAGAAAGAGCAAGAAAAAAUACAGACUUUUAAAUAGGUACUGACGAUCUUGAAGAACCUCCCUAAGAGGGCCAUCGGUAUGCAUAAAAGAAUUAAAACUAAAAAAAUAUAUGUUAGAUCCCUCAGGUCACACAAAGGGAUCCUGGCGGCAGGGCCGGCUUUAGGAAGUGCGGGGCCCAAUUCAAACAUU